rnacentral:lncRNA from 10 species
CUCCACCGCCCUACGGCCUGGGCCCGCCUCCACCCUGCCUCUCCGUGGUUCCCCGGGCUGCCCCUGCCCCCGCCCCCGCCCCCGCCACCUCCCCCGCCGUCGCCCAAUUCCCCCAGCCCCCACCCUCGGCUGCUGCCCGAGCUUCCUCCACGCGCCGUGCAGUCUCCACGGCGACGCUGCGUUCCCGACUCGGAGCCCCCAGCUCCGCGCGAGCAGCUAGCCGGGCUGGCUCUCGGUGUGUGCCCUUCGGAUGGUCUGCUGAAGAGGGCCGCCAGCUGACAGCAAAGAACAAACAGAAUGGCAGAUUGCUAAUGUUUGAUCCAAACGAAAAAGUGAUGAUUGAAUCAAACGAAGCAAUGUCAGAGUAAGAAGAUGUCUUUGAUUGUGCAGCUGAUCUCUCCCAUGCCUUUUAAGCAAUUAGAACUAGAUAAUGCAGCCAUUUGUCACCCAAUUAAAUUUGAAAGGCCAGAAAUGCAUGGAUUAGCACUUCAGCUUUUGCUGCAGUCAAAGCAAUUGUUACUAUAGAUAGAAGGACAGUUAAAAUGAAAAAUGAAUUUUGAUAAAAAUGCAGAAGUAUAGAUAAUAUUCACUUCUACUUUUUAAUGCUUAAACACCCUGUAUUCUGUAUUUUACUUGUAUCAUAAUUUUCAUUGCUCAUUCCUAUUUCCCUUUGAUACUUAUUUCUUUCACAAUAUUUCUUCAAGUGAAUAUGUACUUUAAAAUUAACAAAUUAUUUACUAUAACAUGAAUUGUUACUACUCAAUAAAGAAAGUAAUCACCUCAACUAGUUGAAGAAACUGGUGUUAAAAAAAUUGUAUUCUUUCCAGCCUUUUGGCUAAGAUCAAGUGUAAAAAAAUCACAGUACAAUAUCAAUUUAGUAGCUAAAUUUUAAAUAUCUUCUCUGUUCAAGGCUCUGAUUCUGAUAAUCUAUUAAAGCCCUUCCUGUAGUCAUCUCCUACUUUCUGAAAAAAAAAUCUCUAUUUAUUCUAUGAAAAAUUACAGCUUGAAAGUUGAUCAUAAACACAUUUGUGGGGAUUACUGACAAAUUAGUAGGUACUAUUCUGGUGGGAUUCUUCUAUUCAAAUUCAUACUGUUUUUGUUUAUUCUAAAUAUUGACUGGGAAAAAUUCUACCCUAGACAACAUAUAUUUAAAUUUUCAUAUUGUCAAAACGAAAAAUGUCCACCUUGGCUUUUGUUGUAAAUUAUAUGUAUAUUACAUAUUAUAUAAUACAUGUUUUUAUAUUAAAGAGAAAGUAAUGUAUAGCAAAUCAGUGACAGAGGACCUUAUUUAUUUUCAUUUAAAGUUACAAUCAACCAGAAAAAAAGAGCCUUGUUACAUAUGGUAAUCUACAUGUAAUUUUAUAUGUAUCCUAUUACAUGGUUGAAAACAUUUAAUAAAAUCUAAAAAAUG